rnacentral:rRNA from 1 species
GAUGAACGCUAGCGGCAGGCCUAAUACAUGCAAGUCGAACGGCAAGAUUUGGUAGCAAUACUGAAUCCUAGAGUGGCGCACGGGUGAGUAACGCGUACAUGACAUACCUAUAAGCGAGGGAUAGCAUUGGGAAACUGGUAGUAACCCCUCAUGUGAUUAUUUGUAAUAAAGGUAAAUAAUUAAAACUACGGUGCUUAUAGAUUGGUGUGCGUCUGAUUAGCUAGUUGGCGAGGUAACGGCUCACCAAGGCGACGAUCAGUAGGGGGCGUGAGAGCGUGAACCCCCACACGGGUACUGAGACACGGACCCGACUCCUACGGGAGGCAGCAGUAAGGAAUAUUGGUCAAUGGAGGGAACUCUGAACCAGCCAUGCCGCGUGCAGGAUGAAAGCCCUCUGGGUUGUAAACUGCUUUUAACAGGGAAGAAAAUGCUAUACGCGAUAUAGUACUGACGGUACCUGAGGAAUAAGCACCGGCUAACUACGUGCCAGCAGCCG